rnacentral:rRNA from 1 species
AUGAGCAUAUAUAUUCAGUUUAUGCACCGGAACGAGAAUAUGUAUUCAGUUUCUGCACUGAAUAUGGGCGUAUAUUCAGUUUUUUCACUGAAUAUGAGUAGGUGUUCAUUCUUUUUUCAGUUUAAACAGACUGUGAACGGUUCAAUUUUUGCACUGAGUAUGGUCUGUUCUUUCACCUAUAGAGCAUAUUUUCACACACAGGAACGGAGUGUAAAGGUUCUGUUUUUUCCACAUAUAUAUUCAGUUAAAACAGAGUGUGAAUGUUCAGUUAUUUGCCACUGUGGUAAUUUCUUCCAUCAAAUACCUAGGGGUUAUACCGGGCAUGGUGUCAAAAUGUUUGCUCCAACACGAACGAAUUUAACCGGGGGAUCGUGUUGUCCAGAAAACCCUUCCUUUUUCCUUUCAUGCCAUAUUGGAGAGAAUGAUGCUGGAAAUAAAACCCCCUUUCCAGCAUCAUCUUUCUUAUAA